GAUGGACAACAGGUUGAUAUUCCUGUACUACCGAUAACCGUUUGAGAGAUGGGAUGACACAGUAGGAUAAGCUAAGCACACUGUUGGUUAUGUGUGCCCAAGCAUUUAGGCAGUCAGAGUAGGUAAAUCCGCUUUGAUAAUGCUGGGAUGUGAUGGGGAGCGAAAUUUAGUAGCGAAGUAGCUGAUUUCACACUGUCAAGAAAAGUCUCUAUCGAGGUUAAAGGUACCCGUACC
rnacentral:rRNA from 1 species